UCAAUAACCCUUGCGUUACCCCCGAAUGCGAUUAAAAUGUCAAAUGUUUGGAAACCAAACACCACGUGGGCAGGAGCACAGCGGGUCUGCGGUUAUCUCCUGCCGCGGACGGUGGAGGGGCCGGCGGCUGCACCUGCGUGUCCGGCUCCUCAGAGCCCCGCCCCGCUUCUGGAGCACAGCCCCUCCCCCGGCACAGGACGCAGGCCCCUCCCCAUGCCCCGCCUCCAAGGGCAACCACGCCGCCUCACCUGUAUCCCCGUAUGAGCACCGUUCCCCGGGGUGCAGGCCACGUCCCUCCGCCGCACUCCGCUGGGAAGCUCAACCCUGCCUCUUCCACAACCGCCUGCGCAGUGGCGGCUGGACGGCCGCACGGUGCUUCCUGUGUUGCUGACCCUCUCAGGCCUGGGCCGGCUGACCCCCGUGGGCCCUCACGCUGGAACAUCACUUCUGCAAGUUACAGAACCACAGAAGAUCGAGACACACACCAGUGAUGAUGUUUCUUACAUGCAUGCCAUUAAGAACACAUUCUGUAUAUUUUCUGUGUAUUUUAAAUAAAUGGAUACAUAUCCAUUCUUUAA